rnacentral:rRNA from 1 species
GUUACACUCAUAAUGCAAUAAAAAAUUAUUGGUUAUAAUUAAUAAUAAUAUUAUUAGGAUUAGUAUAUAAUUUUAUUAAGUGAAAUUUUUAAAAUUAUAAUAAGUCUAUACUUAUUAUAUGAGGUUAUUAAACUUAGGUAAAAAACUAGGAUUAGAUACCCUAUUAUUCUAAGCGGAACUUAAAUUGCCAGGUUAGUAGUAGUUAAGGUCUUGAAAAUUAAAGAAGUUGGCGGUAUUUUAGUCUAUUCAGAGGAACCUGUCCUAUAAUCGAUGAUCCACGAUUUUUUUUACUUAUUUUAUUAGUUUAUAUAUCGCCGUAGAUUGAAUAUUUUUUAAAAAAAGGAAUAUUCAAAAUUUUUUAUUAUAAAGGAAUUCAGGUCAAGGUGUAGCUUAUAAAUAAGAAGAGAUGGGUUACAAUAAAUUAAUUUAUGUGGAUUAAUAAAUGAAAUUUUGUUAUGAAAAUGGAUUUGAAGGUAAUUUUAUUUAAAUUUAUAAAGUGAUUUUUAGCUCUAAAAUAUGUACAU